GGGUUGCUACGGUGGUGGGAUCCCCGACGAGACGCGCCGUACCGGGUUUCCGCAAAGACGACGCACC
rnacentral:ncRNA from 1 species